GCACGUUAUGGUGGGCGACUCUAAGGAGAACGUGCCCGGUGCAAACCGGAGGGAAGGUGGGGAGUGACGUCAAGUCAUCAUGGCCCUUACGGCCUGGGCUACACACGUGCUACAAUGGUCGGUACAAAGGGUUGCCAAGCCGCGAGGUGGAGCUAAUCCCAUAAAACCGAUCGUAGUCCGGAUCGCAGUCUGCAACUCGACUGCGUGAAGUCGGAAUCGCUAGUAAUCGUGAAUCAGAAUGUCACGGUGAAUACGUUCCCGGGCCUU
rnacentral:rRNA from 1 species